rnacentral:rRNA from 1 species
AGCGAACGCUGGCGGCGUGCUUAACACAUGCAAGUCGAACGGUAAGGCCCUUCGGGGUACACGAGUGGCGAACGGGUGAGUAACACGUGGGUGAUCUGCCCUGCACUUCGGGAUAAGCCUGGGAAACUGGGUCUAAUACCGGAUAGGACUCCUGGCUUCAUGGUUGGGGGUGGAAAGCUUUUGCGGUGUGGGAUGGGACCGCGGCCUAUCAGCUUGUUGGUGGGGUAAUGGCCUACCAAGGCGACGACGGGUAGCCGGCCUGAGAGGGUGACCGGUCACACUGGGACUGAGAUACGGCCCAGACUCCUACGGGAGGCAGCAGUGGGGAAUAUUGCACAAUGGGCGCAAGCCUGAUGCAGCGACGCCGCGUGAGGGAUGACGGCCUUCGGGUUGUAAACCUCUUUCAGCUAUGACGAAGCGCAAGUGACGGUAGUAGCAGAAGAAGGACCGGCCAACUACGUGCCAGCCGCCGCAGUAAAAC